AUUUUUAGUAGAGACAGGAUUUCACCAUGUUGUCCAGGCUGAUCUCCAACUCCUGACCUGGUCCUCCCACCUCAACCUCUGAACAUGCUGGGAUUACAGCUUAAAUGGGUCCACUUGAAGUUCACAACUGCCAAAACCGCGUGUUCAGACUGAAAGGCUGGGAGCAUUUGAGACGCAUUUAUGAACUUCCACCAAGAUUAUCGGCAGGCUGAAAUCGCAGGGAGAGCGGCUGUUCAACAGACCCUUUCUUCUUGAUUAAAUUAGUGUUGUCCACUAACAGGAUGAGGAAUUCCCAUUCCACAAGCUGCCUUUUUUUCCUCUUUCUACCUCCCGCCUCCCUCCAUUAAAAUGUAAACUUGAUUCCUGGGUCCUUUGCCGGGAGCCUGGCUUCCCUGUAAACCCAUCAUAAACAUCUUGGUAGAAAUGAAACUUUUAACCUCUCCUU